UGGGGAAUAUUGCACAAUGGGCGAAAGCCUGAUGCAGCAACGCCGCGUGAGUGAUGAAGGCCUUCGGGUUGUAAAGCUCUGUCUUUUGGGACGAUAAUGACGGUACCAAAGGAGGAAGCCACGGCUAACUACGUGCCAGCAGCCGCGGUAAUACGUAGGUGGCAAGCGUUGUCCGGAUUUUACUGGGGCGUAAAGGAUGCGUAGGCGGGAUUUUUAAGUGAGAUGUGAAAUACCCGGGCUUAACUUGGGUGCUGCAUUUCAAACUGGGAAUCUAGAGUGCGGGAGAGGAGAAUGGAAUUCCUAGUGUAGCAGUGAAAAUGCGUAGAGAUUAGGAAGAACACCAGUGGCGAAGGCGAUUCUCUGGACCGUAACUGACGCUGAGGCAUGAAAGCGUGGGGUAGCAAACAGGAUUAGAUACCCUGGUAGUCCACGCCGUAAACGAUGAGUACUAGGUGUAGGAGGUAUCGACCCCUUCUGUGCCGCAGUUAACACAAUAAGUACUCCGCCUGGGGAAGUACGAUCGCAAGAUUUAAAAACUCAAAGGGAAUUGACGGGGGUCAUAGCUGUUUUUCCU
rnacentral:rRNA from 1 species